rnacentral:ncRNA from 1 species
UGAAUAGCUGUGAAGGGAAAUGAAGUAAGCGGGAAAAGAUGCCUGCAGAGAGCCGGCGGCUGGUGUGAGCCGGUGCUCUUUUCCGCCCAAAUUACAUCCUGGAGCUGCCCGCCGAAAGCGUUUUGCCGUGUAAGCCGGGCCGUGUGCGCACGUUACCGCGCGGAGGUAUCUUUUAUUUGCUUGUCCUAUAAAAUGUACCCGUAAGGCCGUCUUCGUGAGGGGACGGUGAACUGAGGUGGUACCGCGGAAUUUCCGCCCUCUGC